rnacentral:tRNA from 1 species
CCGGUAGUGGCGAAAUUGGCAGCCGCGCCAGCCUUGGGAGCUGGUGGAGGCCUAGUCUCCGUGCGGGUUCGAAUCCCGCCUACCGGACCA